rnacentral:lncRNA from 1 species
UUAGACUUAUAUCCUCUUGAAUACCAGUUGAUUCUCCAAAUUAGGUGCAUUGUACUGAUAGCUGAUGAGUUACCAUGGGUGAUUUGACUCAGACCAUGGAGUUUAUUCAAAUUGUAUAUUUAAAUAAUUUUAGUAUUAGCUUGUUUAACAUGAAAAUCUGACAAUGUAUUUUCACCUGUAGUUCUAACUGCUUGGGAGGCUGAGGCAUGAGUAUCGCUUAAACCCAGGAGGCAGAGGUUGUGGUGAGCUGAGAUCACACCAUUGCACUCCAGCCUGGGCAAUAAGAGUGAAACUCUGUCUCAAAAAAAAAAAAAAGAAAAGAGCCCUUCCCCCUUGUGCGCAGGGCAAAUACUGGCCAUAGCCAGAAUUCUGCAGUUUUCUCUGUGUUUAGGCACUGCCCACCAAGGAGAGAUUCCCCUGUAUGAAACAGAAAGGAAAGGAGAGAAAUAAAUCCUAAACUUUGGGCCUAGCUUCUGCUGGAAUUUCUCCUGGCUGGCUCAGCAAAAUAUGUUACCAGUGGAGGGUGUCCAGGUUCUCAGCAUCUUCAACAAAGAAUUCAACAAAAUGCACAAACAAAGCAAAGAAAUAAUGAAGCAACAAAAGUAGAUAUUUAUUGAAAAUAAAAGUACACUCCACAUUGUGGAAGUGGGCCUGAGCGUAGUGGCUCAAGGGCCUCAUUACAGAAUUUUUGGGGGUUUAAAUACUCUCUAGGGAUUUUCACUGGUUGCCUGGUGCACACACUAUGUAAAUGAAGAGGGUGAAGUGAGGUUACAAAGUCAUUUACCUGGAAUAUACCUUAUGGAGAGGAUAUUUCCUGUCAUAGCUGAAGUGUGAAUUGGCCUUGUGUUCCCUGUCUCCAGACCCUAUUUUUCUGUCUCAGUUGGAUCUUGAGUGUGGAACCAUAAUAAUUGGGAUUAGUGUCCUUGUUAAAGAGAUUCAAGAGAGAGUGCUUGUCCCUUUUGUGACAUGAGGAUAGAAAGAGGACAGCUAUCUAUGAGUCAG